AUGACUAUCUCACCACAUGAACAAGAGCCAUAUCGAAACAGAAAGCAAACAAUCACACAAAAUGUUAUGGUUGCAUGUGACUUUGAUUUGAGGUUUGUGCAUGUGCAUCCUGGCUGGGAAGGAUCAGCCUCGGAUGCAAGGGUUCUCCAAGAUGCACUUAACCAUGGAUUUCAGGUACCUCAUGGUAAAUAUUAUCUUGUAGAUGCGGGCUAUGCAAACACACCACAGUUUCUUGCCCCAUACCGUGGAACUAGAUACCAUUUGCAAGAACAAGCACAAGUACGUCAAAGGCCGCGGAAUCGUAGAGAACUAUUCAACCUUCGCCAUGCACAAUUAACAAGGAGCUAUAUUACAUAA
rnacentral:rRNA from 1 species